ACACAAGUAAAAAUUGGAAUAGUUCUCCUCAGUAAAAAAUGAACACAGAUUGACCUGUUUUCGAAAUCCUGUAUCUUUCUCCCUUAACCUCAAGAAGGCCAGUGACUAAAGCCAUCGACAUCGACUGUGAGAAGGAAUGGUUCAUCACAUCUGACGAAACCGGGACCAUCACUCGAUGAAUCCCUCCCCAUGUGUUAUCAAUCUUAUCUCUUUCUCCUCUGCUUCUCCUGCUGACCAUCUCCGUCAACCCUCUUACCUUCCUCUUGGCUCCCUCAGACUUCCCAGCUGGCCUCUUGUGAAACACCUCACCGGGAGCCAUUCAAGGACUACAAAGAGGAGUAUCAGAGGUUUUAAUGACGGAUAACAGCUCGCUGCAAAGCUUGAAGACAACCUGAAGACGAGCACCAAACACAUGGGAAGAGAG